GUGAGUUCUGGUUCCUUGCAUGGAGAGCUGGGGGGUGGGGGAGCGGACCCUGGGCGGAGGGCGGGGUCAGGAGGGAUGUGUAACCCUUGUCCUUUGUUUCUGCUCCUCUAGGCUCCCUCCAGGUGUGGACCCCACCCUGGUGUCCUCUUCCCUGUCCCCUGAGGGCACACUCACCGUGGAGGCUCCGCUGCCCAAAGCAGUCACACAAUCAGCGGAGAUCACCAUUCCGGUCACUUUCGAGGCCCGUGCCCAAAUUGGAGGCCCAGAGUCGGAACAGUCUGGAGCCAAGUAGAAGCCUUCAGCUUGCUACCCAUCCCCAGUAGCCGUCACCAGCCCUCCCUCUCUGUCAAUCUGAAUGCUCUUUUGAUACAUGUACUUUCUGUUUUUCUCAAAUAAAAGUUGGAAACUACUGCUCACC
rnacentral:lncRNA from 1 species